rnacentral:pre_miRNA from 1 species
UCAUUCGGAUUCGCCAUCAUACGUCCAACCGUGCAUUUGAUAUNUUGAUAUGCAUAUAUAUGCAUCACGAGCCACGGUUGGGCUGUAUGAUGGCGAUACCGAUUGG